CCUACGGGUGGCAGCAGUAGGGAAUCUUUCACAAUGGGCGAAAGCCUGAUGGAGCAACGCCGCGUGCAGGAUGAAGGCCUUCGGGUUGUAAACUGCUUUUAUAAGCGAGAAAUAUGAUGGUAACUUAUGAAUAAGGAUCGGCUAACUACGUGCCAGCAGCCGCGGUCAUACGUAGGAUCCGAGCAUUAGCCGGAGUGACUGGGUGUAAAGAGUUGCGUAGGUGGCAUAAUAAGUAGCUAUUGAAAUCUGGUGGCUCAACCAUUCAGACUAUUAGCUAAACUGUUAAGCUCGAGACCGUUAGGGGUAACUGGAAUUUCGAGUGUAGGAGUGAAAUCCGUAGAUAUUAGAAGGAACACCAAUAGCGUAGGCAGGUUGCUGGGACGGUUCUGACACUAAGGCACGAAAGCGUAGGGAGCAAACGGGAUUAGAUACCCGGGUAGUC
rnacentral:rRNA from 1 species